GCUCUUCAUCAGCUCAUUUAUGGAAGGUCAUCCAUUUAUUGAGACCAGCCCAAAAGACCCUCAGGAACUUAGAAGACUCCUGCCGACUUUGAAGACCAUAGCCCCAAAGCAGGGCUGUGAAAUGGAGCAGCAAAGAAGAGAAGCAUUGUCAAAGCUCAAGUUCCAUCAGAAUGACAAAGUAAUGGAGACUUGA
rnacentral:lncRNA from 1 species